UGGGGGACAAGUGUAGGGCGAUAGAAUGGGUUACCUCUCUUUCCUGGAGAAGUUUGUGGAUAGCAGUGAUAGCACAUCAAUCUACUACUACGUCGAUGUUUGGCAUUCUGAGUAGCAAAUUGUUGACAUUGCAAGUUGAAAAGAUCUGCACUAGCAUCUGACAGAAAGAAAUUAACAACUCAUUAGCAUGAACGGCCACCAGAGCGCCACCGACAGCACCCCCACCUGUGACACAACAACCUCAAGCGCGGCACUCAAAGAAUUUCUCAACAGCAUUCCCAAACUGGCCCAGUUGACAGACAG
rnacentral:sRNA from 1 species